GACGAACGCUGGCGGCGUGCUUAACACAUGCAAGUCGAACGGAAAGGCCUGCUUUCCCUUGUGGAUUGCGGGUACUCGAGUGGCGAACGCGUGAGUAACACGUGAGUUAUCUGCCCCCAACUUGGGUAUAAGCCUGGGAUACUGGGUCUAAUUCGCGAUAGGACUGCAGUGUGGUUCCUGUGGUUGAAAACGAUUUUCUAGUGGUUGGGGAUGAGCUCGCGGCCUAUCAGCUUGUUGGUGGGGUAAUGGCCUACCAAGGCGGCGACGGGUAGCCGGGCUGAGAGGGUGGACGGGCACAGUGGGACUGAGAUACGGCCCAGAAGCCUACGGGAGGCAGCCGUGGGGAGUCUUGCACAAUGAGCGGAAGCCUGAGGCAGCGACGCCGAGUGGGGGACGACGGGCUUCGGAUUGUGAACUCCUUUCGACAGAGAGGAAGCCACCUGGUUGGAAGGGUGGUGACGGUAGUGGUAGAAGAAGCACCGGCUAACUACGUG
rnacentral:rRNA from 1 species